GAUUAUUGCAAAGGUGUGCCUUAGGCUGGCCACUAUAAAAGGCCACUCUAAAAUGUGCAGUUUUACUGUAUUGGGAGGGUCCGGGGGGUCCGAAAUUCAGUCAGUAGUGAUGUCACGAACGCGAACAUGCUAUGUUCGCCAGGAACUAUUCGCCAGCGAACCGUUCGGUGCAUCACUAUCAGUCAGUAUCUGGUGUGACCACCAUUUGCCUCAAGCAGUGCAACACAUCUCCUUUGCAUAGAGCUGAUCAGGUUGUUGAUUGUGGACUGUGGAUCCACUCCUCUUCUAUAACUGUGCGAAGUUGCUGGAUAUUGGCAGGACCAGGAACACGCUGUCAUAUACGCCGAUCCAGAGCAUCCCAAACAUGCUCAGUGGGUGACAUGUCUGGUGAGUAUGCUGGCCAUGCAGGAACUGGGAUGUUUUCAGCUUCCAUGAAUUGUGUACAGAUCCUCACAACAUGGGGCCGUGCAUUAUCAUGCUGCAACACAAGGUGAUGGUCGUGGAUGAAUGGCACAACAAUGGGCCUCAGGAUCUCGUCACGGUAUCUCUGUGCAUUCAAAAUGCCAUUAAUAAAAUGCACCUGCCCAUACCAUAACCCAACUGCCAUUAAGGGCCACUCGAUCCACAACGUUGACAUCAGCAAACUGCUCACCCACAGGACACCGUACACACUGUCUGUCAUCUGCCCUGUACAGUGAAAACCGGGAUUCAUCCGUGAAGAGAACACCUCUUUAAGGUGCCAGACGCGAUCGAAUGUAAGCAUUUGCCCACUCAACUUGGUUAUGACAAUGAACUGAAGUCAGGUUGAGACACCGAUGAGGACGAUGAGCAUGCAGAUGAGCUUCCCUGAGAUGGUUUCUGACAGUUUGUGCAGAAAUUCUUUGGUUAUGCAAACCCAUUGUUGUAGCAGCUGUCCGGUUGGCUUGUCUCAGACGAUUUUGGAGGUGAAGAUGCUGAAUGUGGAGGUCCUGGGGUGGUGUGCUUACACGUGGACUGCGGCAGUGAGGCUGGUUGGAUGUUCUGCCAAAUUCUCUGAAACACCUUUGGAGACAACUUAUGGUAAAGAAAUGAACAUUCAAUUCAAGGGCAACAGCUCUGGUG